rnacentral:rRNA from 1 species
GACGAACGCUGGCGGCGUGCUUAACACAUGCAAGUCGAGCGGUAAGGCCCUUUCGGGGGUACGACGAGCGGCGAACGGGUAGAGUAACACGUGGGUGACCUGCCCUCCAGCUCUGGGAGUAAGCCCGGGAAACCGUGGGUCGUAAUACCGGAUAUGACUUCAUGACGCAUGUUGUGGAGUGGAAAGCCUUGUGCGGCUGAGGAUGGGCCCGCGGCCUAUCAGCUUGUUGGUGGGGUGAUGGCCUACCAAGGCGACGACGGGUAGCCGGCCU